rnacentral:tRNA from 1 species
AUUGAGGUGGCAGAGCCCGGUUACUGCAAAAGACCUAAGCCCUUUCUACGGAGGUUCAAGUCCUCCCCUUAAUU